UUUCCGUAGGUGAACCCGCGGAAGGAUCAUUAGUGAAUUGAAUAUGUUAGCGGACCUCUUCGGAGUCCCUAGCAUCAAAUCAUAUCCAUAACACCUGUGAACUGUAAGGCUGUCUUGAAAACGAAAGUGAUUAGAGCGCCUGCCCAUUUUAUACAAACAUAAAGUAACAAACGUAGUCUUAUUAUAAUCUAAUAAAACUUUCAACAACGGAUCUCUUGGCUCUC
rnacentral:misc_RNA from 1 species